rnacentral:lncRNA from 1 species
UUUACCCUUAUUUACCCGACCAGCCCAAACCCGUCCCUUUACCCAGUCCAAACCCACUCAAGAACCAAAUAACACCGUUUUGGUCUCUUAUCAUUUGAGUCGUUGAUCUUACUAGAUCGAAUGGCUUGGAACUAUUUAUUCGACAGUAUAGAAGCCCUUAUCCCCCCUAACUCGUCUCCUUCACUCUUCAUCUCCCAUCUUUAGAGACCGAAUUUAACCCUAGCAUCGCUCUAAAUCUAAGCCAUUGUAGCCGGUGGCGCUACCUCACAUUAGCCCCAAAAUGGCACUACAAACUCUCCUUCACCUCCCCAUCCUAAAUAUUCAUUCCCUUUCCCUCGAAUCAGACCCAAACUUUUCGAAUCUUGGAUCAAAGAUUUGAUUGAAAACCUUAAAUGGUCCAAAUUCCCCCAAAUUAACACCAUAGAAGCCUCAUACCCUCCCUUUUCCCAAUCCAUAACUCUUUUUCCUCGAAUAUUUCUCAAACACGUCGAAUCUUGAAUCUGAGUUCAAGCCCUAAAAAACCUAAAUGCAUAUUCUUGAAUUUGUUGCAUGCAAGGCUAUUUCUCUGAGUUUUCUGAGUUUUUCAAGGCUAACUUAUCACAAAAUAAUGAUGGUCUCUGGUUCUUGAGAAAGGACAAGCGAUUAACAUUACGUUGGGAUAAUUUGGAAUAUCAAAAUCUAUUACGAGUCUAUUUGGUAAGUUUCUGCAUUUAUUUUUAUUUUGUCUUUCUUUUAUGCUGUUUCAUAUAUGUUCUUCUGACCUUCUUCCAUUUUUUCAUUAAGAUUAGUUUUCCUCUGAUGAAUUCGGUGAAUGUCUUUUUAACUUUUGAUUUUAGGUUUUCUUUGUUUGUUUUUGUUAAAAUUUUCGUUAAUUUUGUUGGUUUAUGCAUUCUACCUAUUUAGCUUUUGGUUUUUUAUUUUAGUUUGAUAUCCAGCCCAGUGGAAUUUUUGUGUUAGUUUGGUCGUUUAGUUAAUUAUAGAUCAUUAGUUUGGUUUUACAAAAAAAAAAAGGAAAAACGGUAAUUUAGUUAGUUUUUUUUUGGUUUUGAAAGCAUUCAAGUCAUUAUUUUCUUCUGUUCCUCAUUGAAUUACCAAUUGAAUUCAAGUCAAUGCUGACCCAUGUUCAAAGUGCAACCCAUUCGUUUGGUUUCAGGUCUAUUGGGUCACUUUGACCAUUUGGUUUCCUAAAGUAAAAAGCAGAGGUUCAAAUGUUAAAUUAGGUAAUUUAGGUGAAGGAAUCUCUUAGGAAGCUUUCUAGAAGCUGGGGAUUGAGACUUAGAUGAAAGACUAAUUUUUAAACUAAGGAUUAAACAGCAAAAAAGAAAAUUACACAAGGAUAAAGUUUAUGCUGCCCUAAGCUUGACUAUAAAGGCACUAUUUCUUCACUUACAAGUCAGGGAUUAGAUACUGAAAAAAUCCUGAAAAAACACUGAAACGGCUCAAUCUGGAGAAAACUCUGAAAUAAUAUUAAAAUCCUGAAUUUUCUUCGGAAAAGCAGCUCAAAAUUCUAUCUAGUUUUGGUUUUAUGAUCCUUUUUGUUAGCUAGAACUUUAGAAAAGCUUUAGAUUCCUGCACCUGGGUAAAAUGAUUUGAGUUUUUGGGGAUUUAAAUGCUUGGUUUGAGCUACUUUGACUUUAGUUACUAUUUUAUUGCUGACUCUGGGUUUGUUCUGCUGCAGCUGUCCAUCGAUUCUCCACUUCUUUGUUCCCCUUUAAAUUUUCAGGUACUUUUUCGAACCAUGAUUAGAAAUGAAGCUUGAUUAAGCUGUUGCCUGAGAGACAUAUAAUUCAAGUUGAAGAAAAAAAAUGAUAAAUAUCAUUUUUCUGUUGUUUAAUCACUACUGAAUUUGUCAUAGUUCAUCCAUGUCCUUUCUAGUCUGGCUCACCAUGUUUGUUCCAUUUACUGAUGGUGUAUUCUGUUUUAAGUACUGGAUCUAGAUUUUGUUUGAACGUUGCUUGAUUUGAGAGUGUUCUCAGGAUUUAUUUAUAAAUGAGAACUGUAGCCUUGUAGUUCAAUUCGUGAGUCUGGUUGUUUUUGAAGAUCCUACCCAUCAUUAUAGGUUAAAUAUUCAGUAAAUUAGAUCAUUCAUGGUGUUUGUUAAAAUUAACCUAGGCUUUGAAUUCAUUAAGUACUGAUGUUAUGCUUUGAAUGCAAAAAAUGGCUUCCAAAUGGAUUUUGAGUUUGACAUUUAGAUCUGAGAAUUUUUGGAGUUUGCUUGACUCUUUACAUUUUGUUUUCCUUGGAAAAGUUCGAGUCAAGGAUGCUGGUCUGAAUCAGAAUAUGCUUGAGUUGUAACGAAUGAAUUUGGAAUGUUAAAAAUGGUGAAAUAAUUUGAGUAAGAAUUUGCUAUCAUAUUAGGAAUUGAAUCUUCAUUUUAGAAUAUGUGUUGGCAUCUGAAUGCGUCCUUGUAUCUGUUCUAAUUCAAGAUUUUCAUAGAGAAAAUGUUUCCACCUCAAGCGUUAGUGAUGAAUCGAACCUGGGCUGCUAAGUGUUGCCUAGUUGUGUUGAUGUGCUUGCCAAGAAAUCAACAAUUGGUAAUAGGGACCACUGUUGGCCCAAGCCUUGAAAACUGAAUGUUUUGCCUUAGUAUUCUGUUUUUCCUUAGUAUAUGCAUGCCUUUAAUUAUUAGAUCAAGCUUGAAUAUUAGAUUAAAAUAAUUAGGAUGCUCUAAGUCGUCCUUAGUCCAUUAGGUUUUUAAAAUUAGUUUGAGGUGUGCUAUAUUAGUCGAACAUAUAAUUUAUGGCCCCCAAAACUAAAUUUAGAAACCCUUUGGUUAGAGUAACUUGAGGCGUGCCAUGCCAAAUAAAUAACCGAAUGAUCGUAAUUUGCUUUUAGCCCGAUUUUGUUUAGCAUUGCGAUUAUAUAUAUGUUCGCAUAAUAUAAUUACAAAUUUAAUUCUAAAAAUAACUCGACGGAUGCGUUCACAACUUCAAACAAACUUUUCUUAAUAAAAUAGACAAAGCGUUAUUAAUUGUGGAAACGUAUGAUUUUUGACGCGCCAAAAAAAGAGUAUAUGCACGCGUAAAUUCUUUAAUUACGAAUAAUUAUACUGUGACUUCAUCCCUGCUCUAACUGCUAUAGAGUCCCUGCAUAUUCUCCUCUAACUCCUAUAUAACUCAUAUUUAUUUUCCUAUUUAAAGGAAAAAAAUGAUAGAUGAACAGAUUGCAGGUACUGCACAAACUAGUAUCUCUACCUGCUUUGUUUGCUAAGAUGUUUAGAGCUGUGCAGGAAGUAUUAAUUUCUGAGUGCAAUCAGAAACAGAAUGCUUUUUAAAGCAAUUAGUUUCAGGCUUCAUUUUAGAACUUCCUUCUACUCAUUUCUUGAACUUCCUUCAUUUGAGACAAGAUUACAUGACUUAAAACCUUUCUAAUAAAUGUUUAACUUGUUUCCAGCGAGACAACAAAGACUAGUGCUGCAAACAAAUGAAAAUGGAGACAACAAAGACUAGUGCUGCAAACUAAUGAAAAUGGAGACAACUAAUACUAUGUUAGAUACUUCUACGAUCAAAUAACUGCUGCUUUUAAAUCCAAAUAGAAAUAAUGAUACCGUACCCCUACCUCUAUUUAAAAAUUAAAAUGUUAGAGAAAUUUCUGUUUUUACAUUCAGGUGGAACUGUUUGGAGCUAGAGUUGUUUUAGUUUUGACUCCUAAUGUAUAUUAAAAUGGUGUAUUUGACAUGUAAUGUCACGAUCCGGAUUUCCUACCCUAGGGAGUCGUGAUGACACCUAUUAAUGAAAGCUAGACAAACCGAUUAUUUGAACCAAUUACCUUUAUCCCAUU